CAUGAAGUCGGAAUUGCUAGUAAUCGCGGAUCAGCAUGCCGCGGUGAAUACGUUCCCGGGCCUUGUACACACCGCCCGUCACACCAUGGGAGCCGGUAAUACCCGAAGUCAAUAGUCCAACCACGUGAGGACGCUGCCGAAGGUAGGAUUGGCGACUGGGGUGAAGUCGUAACAAGGUAAC
rnacentral:rRNA from 1 species